UACGUAGGGCGCAAGCGUUGUCCGGAAUUAUUGGGCGUAAAGAGCUCGUAGGCGGUUUGUCGCGUCUGCUGUGAAAGCCCGGGGCUCAACCCCGGGUCUGCAGUGGGUACGGGCAGACUAGAGUGCAGGUAGGGGAGACUGGAAUUCCUGGUGUAGCGGUGAAAUGCGCAGAUAUCAGGAGGAACACCGAUGGCGAAGGCAGGUCUCUGGGCUAUGACGCUGAGGAGCGAAAGCAUGGGGAGCGAACAGGAUUAGAUACCCGUGUCAUC
rnacentral:rRNA from 1 species